rnacentral:rRNA from 1 species
UACGGAGGGUGCAAGCGUUAUCCGGAUUCACUGGGUUUAAAGGGUGCGUAGGAGGGCAGGUAAGUCAGUGGUGAAAUCUCCGAGCUUAACUUGGAAACUGCCGUUGAUACUAUCUGCCUUGAAUAUUGUGGAGGUGAGCGGAAUAUGUCUUGUAGCGGCGAAAUGCUUAGAUAUGACAUAGAACACCAAUUGCGAAGGCAGCUCGCUACACAUAUAUUGACUCUGAGGCACGAAAGCGUGGGGAUCAAACAGG